AUUGAACGCUGGCGGCAGGCCUAACACAUGCAAGUCGAACGAGUGGCGGACGGGUGAGUAAUAUCUGGGAAACUGCCUGAUGGAGGGGGGUAACUACUGGAAACGGUAGCUAAUACCGCAUACCAUCAAAUGUGCCCAGAUGGGAUUAGCUUGUUGGUGGGGUAACGGCUCACCAAGGCGACGAUCCCUAGCUGGUCUGUGAGGAUGACCAGCUACACUGGAACUGAGACACGGCCCAGACUCCUACGGGAGGCAGCAGUGGGGAAUAGUGUAUAAGGGGCGCAAGCCUGAUGCAGCCAUGCCGCGUGUAUGAAGAAGGCCUUCGUGUUGUAAAGUACUUUCAGCGGGGAGGCGUUACCCGCAGAAGAAGCACCGGCUAACUCCGUGCCAGCAGCCGCGGUAAUUC
rnacentral:rRNA from 1 species